rnacentral:lncRNA from 1 species
AUGCCGGCCCUGCAGGUGGGGACUGAACCAGCUGUGCUACAAUGUCGGCCCCAGGAUCCUCUUGGAUUUAAGCCUUGUGUCCAGUCAUUCAUUUGCCAGCCACACCCCUGCAGAGGGCAUCUGACCUUAGGGUCUGUGACAGGGCUCGGAGGCCACAGAGAAUCAGACGAAGCCCGCACCCGAGGCCAGUGGCGGAGACGCCCGCAGCACGGCCGGGCAGCGGCCGACAGCUCCGUCCCCGGGAGCUCCUCAGGCUGUGAGUGCCCGAUCGCUGCCCUUGUGCCCGCCUGGCCCCUCUCAGCUCCCCCACUCCCCUCGCAGCCCGGCUGCGGGGUCUAUAGAGGCAGGCAGCUGGAGGGCGCCACCUUGCUCCACCUGGGCUGCUUGGGGGCGGCCCCUCGGCCUGAGCCGUCUUCACUCUGUGGCUGCCAUUCUUGGCGUGCAGAGGAACUGGACACUGCUGAACCCGGAAAAUGCAGGCACAGGAACAGGCAGCAGGCAAAGCUUCCGUCUGCAGAAGCCGCGGAGGGGAAGAGGAGGGAGAACGGAGUGGACACCAGCCCCGUGGGCAAAGGGCAGAGGGGGCGGUGCGUGGUGCGGGUGCUCCGUGUCCCCCGAAGGGCCGUGGCUCCAGCCUGGGGUCCUGUGACAGCAGCACAAUCAGGACCAGCGACCCCUGCAGGUCACGUGUGGAACAGAAAGAAGAGUGGCUUCCAUGUGGACGUCACCUCCCCUGGGUGAUCAGGGCCACCCUGGCCAGGACGGGGCUGGGCAGACAGUGUCUGAGACGUGGCCCCCUAGAGGACAUGACAGCCCUGAAUCAGGGCUCACCUGAAUUCAGUUCCCACCCGAAUCUGAUCUCAGAGAGGCAGCAGGAAAACCCACGCUGCCCGACGCUAUGCAGAAUCCCCGGCCAGUGCGCGGCAGCCGUGCCCGCUGAAGGAGGGCCCAGGGCCAGGGGCGAGCAGGUGAGCCCAGCACGGAGCUGCCCAGGGGCGAGCAGGUGAACCCGGUGAGCCCUGGGCCCCGACCCCAGAGAGCUGGUCUGGGUCUGGCAGUCCCGGGUCUUUCCACACAGUCUCCCGAGGCAUCACCCCACGGGAACCCAGCGCUCACCCGGCCCCGACUCCGUUACCUGCCCCUUCCACCCGGCAAAGCGCCAGUCACUCCUCCGCCUUCCUUCUCGAUCUGUCAAUCAGCCCACGGCCGUCUCCCCACACCAGCUUACAAACUUUCCGUCAACCCCUGGAUCUGUCUCUCCAAUACCGAUCGCCUCUGUUCUUUCUCCCUCUGCUCGCUCGCUCUCUCUCUCUCUCCCUUUCUUUCCUUCUCCCCUUCCUUCCUUUUUUUUCUGCUUAGCUUCCAGGCCAACACCUUGAGGACUAGGAGGUGAGCAAGCUGCGUCUCUCCUCGCCUACAGCUUCCUGGGAGAAGUGGGGAAGCCGCCGUGGGGAGCAGGCGCCGGCUGAAGCGAAGCAGUGCAAAGCUGUGAAACAGUAAACCGCUCGGCUUGACAGCCCUGACAGCUAUUUGUUCUGGAAAACAGCAUUUAUGAUGUCAGCCCUAUACGGGAGUGUGUUUGAAUUAAAAUAAUUACGGCUGAUAGCACAACAAAGAGUGCUCUAGUCAAUCACCCUGCAGAUGCCGCCCGGGC